rnacentral:rRNA from 1 species
AGUGAACGCUGGCGGUAGGCCUAACACAUGCAAGUCGAACGGCAGCACAGUAAGAGCUUGCUCUUACGGGUGGCGAGUGGCGGACGGGUGAGGAAUAAAUCGGAAUCUACUUUUUCGUGGGGGAUAACGUAGGGAAACUUACGCUAAUACCGCAUACGACCUACGGGUGAAAGCAGGGGAUCUUCGGACCUUGCGCGAUUGAAUGAGCCGAUGUCGGAUUAGCUAGUUGGCGGGGUAAAGGCCCACCAAGGCGACGAUCCGUAGCUGGUCUGAGAGGAUGAUCAGCCACACUGGAGCUGAGACACGGUCCAGACUCCUACGGGAGGCAGCAGUGGGGAAUAUUGGACAAUGGGCGCAAGCCUGAUCCAGCCAUACCGCGUGGGUGAAGAAGGCCUUCGGGUUGUAAAGCCCUUUUGUUGGGAAAGAAAAGCAGCAGGUUAAUACCCCGCUGUUCUGACGGUACCCAAAGAAUGAGCACCGGCUAACUUCGU